rnacentral:rRNA from 1 species
GACGAACGCUGGCGGCGUGCUUAAGACAUGCAAGUCGUACGAGAAAGUCUCUUCGGAGAUGAGUAAAGUGGCGCACGGGUGAGUAACGCGUGGGUAAUCUGCCCUUAGGUUUGGGAUAACCCCGGGAAACCGGAGCUAAUACCGAAUGAGACCACGAUGACUUCGGUCGAUGUGGGAAAAGGUGGCCUCUUCUUGAAAGCUAUCGCCAAAGGAUGAGCCCGCGUUUGAUUAGCUAGUUGGUGAGGUAAUGGCUCACCAAGGCGACGAUCAAUAGCUAGGCUGAGAGGAUGAUCAGCCACACUGGAACUGAGAUACGAUCCAGACUCCUACGGGAGGCAGCAGUCAGGAAUAUUGGGCAAUGGGCGAAAGCCUGACCCAGCAACGCCGCGUGAAGGAUGAAGGCCUUCGGGUCGUAAACUUCUGUCGAGAGGGAAGAAUGCGUACGGGUAAAUAAUCCGUGCGUUUGACGGUACCUCCAAAGGAAGCACCGGCUAACUCCGUGCCAGCCGCCGCGGUAAGAC